rnacentral:snRNA from 1 species
AUACUUACCUGGUCAGGGUCAAUGUGUGAUCAAUAAUGCUUAUGGCCUAGGUUGGUGGUCUCCAUUGCACUUAGGAGAUGCAUUAGCCUAAGGUCUGUCCAAAUGGCAGAGCCUACGUCAUUAUUUGUGAUGAUAGUGGAGGCCGUGCGACCUCUG